UAGGCAUGCAAGUCGAGCGCUCAUCAGCAAUGGUGGGAGCGGCGAACGGCGUAGUAAGGUGUAGGAACGUACCCUCAGGUCGAGGAUAGCUACGGGAAACUGUAGGUAAUACUCGAUGAUCUCUGCGGAGCAAAGGUGAGAUUCCGCCUGAGGAGCGGCUUACAUGAUAUUAGCUAGUUGGUGAGGUAAUGGCUCACCAAGGCGUAGAUGUCUAGGGGGUGUGAGAGCAUGGCCCCCACGACCGGAACUGAGACACUGUCCGGACACCUACGGGUGGCUGCAGUCGAGAAUCUUCCGCAAUGGACGAAAGUCUGACGGAGCGACGCCGCGUGCGGGAAGAAGGUACUUCGUAUUGUAAACCGCUGUCAGGGGGGAUGAAAUCUCCGGGGGCUAUCCCUUGGAGUUGACAGAGCCCCAAAGGAAGCACGGGCUAAGUAUGUGCCAGCAGCCGCGGUAAUACAUACUGUGCGAACGUUAUUCGGAAUCACUGGGCU
rnacentral:rRNA from 1 species